rnacentral:rRNA from 1 species
AGAGUUUGAUCAUGGCUCAGGAUGAACGCUAGCGGCAGGCCUAAUACAUGCAAGCCGAACGGCAAGUUGAGUAGCAAUACUUGACCUAGAGUGGCGUAAGGGUGCGUAACACGUAUGCAAUCUGCCCACAACAGGAGGAUAGCUCCCCGAAAGGGGAAUUAAUACUCCAUAAGAUCACGAGAGGGCAUCUGAUUGUGAUUAAACUACAAGGGGUUGUGGAUGAGCAUGCGGUUGAUUAGCUAGUUGGUAAGGUAACGGCUUACCAAGGCGAUGAUCAAUAGGGGAACUGAGAGGUUUAUCCCCCACACUGGCACUGAGAUACGGGCCAGACUCCUACGGGAGGCAGCAGUAGGGAAUAUUGGACAAUGGGCGAGAGCCUGAUCCAGCCAUGCCGCGUGCAGGAAGAAGGCCUUCUGGGUUGUAAACUGCUUUUACCAGGGGAUAAAAGACCCGUGCGCGGGGAAUUGAAGGUACCUGGUGAAUAAGCCACGGCUAACUACGUGCCAGCAGCCGCGGUAAUACGUAGGUGGCAAGCGUUGUCCGGAUUUAUUGGGUUUAAGGGGUGCGUAGGCGGCCCUGUAAGUCAGUGGUGAAAUACGGCAGCUCAACUGUCGAGGUGCCAUUGAUACUGCAGGGCUUGAGUACAGACGAGGUAGGCGGAAUUGACGGUGUAGCGGUGAAAUGCUUAGAUAUCGUCAAGAACACCGAUAGCGAAGGCAGCUUACUAGACUGUAACUGACGCUGAGGCACGAAAGUGUGGGGAUCAAACAGGAUUAGAUACCCUAGUAGUCC